rnacentral:rRNA from 1 species
UACGUAGGGUGCAAGCGUUAAUCGGAAUUACUGGGCGUAAAGCGUGCGCAGGCGGUUUUGUAAGCCAGAUGUGAAAUCCCCGGGCUUAACCUGGGAAUGGCAUUUGGGACUGCAAGGCCGGAGUGCGGCAGAGGAGACUGGAAUUCCUGGUGUAGCAGUGAAAUGCGUAGAUAUCAGGAGGAAUACCGAUGGCGAAGGCAGGUCUCUGGGCUGACACUGACGCUCAUGCACGAAAGCGUGGGGAGCAAACAGG